rnacentral:tRNA from 1 species
GCCUAGUUAGCUUAGUUGGUAGUGCGUCUGCCUUGUAAGCGCUAGGUCGCGGGUUCGAUUCCCGCCCGGGGC